rnacentral:rRNA from 1 species
AAGGCUAGGUUGUCCGGGCGACGGUCGUCCCGGUUCAAGCAGGUAGGCAGAGUGAUUAGGCAAAUCCGGUCACUUAAUGCUGAGAUGUGAUGACGAACCACCAAGGUGGUGAAGCAAUUGAUGCCCCGCUUCCAGGAAAAGCCUCUAAGCUUCAGGUUACCAACAAUCGUACCCCAAACCGACACAGGUGGUCAGGUAGAGAAUACUCAGGCGCUUGAGAGAACUCGGGUGAAGGAACUAGGCAAAAUGGUGCCGUAACUUCGGGAGAAGGCACG